rfam:Yokenella regensburgei ATCC 43003 genomic scaffold Scfld3, whole genome shotgun sequence.
CUUACCGGAGGCCGUAUGGAUCCUGAUCCCACGCCCCAUCCCCGAUGGAGCAACAAUCUAGUCCGGUAAGCUAGUCUUCACUGCUUUGCCGGAUGUGUAAGGCAGUGGCAUCUU